rnacentral:misc_RNA from 1 species
AACGCAUAUUGUGCCCCUUGGUAUCCCGGGGGGCAUGCCUGUUCGAGCGUCAUUUCAACCACUCAAGCCUAGCUUGGUAUUGGGCAUCGUUGUGCUUUAACUCUGUUAUUCAGAGAAGGCAACGUGCCUUAAAUAUAGAUAGCGGCAAGUAUAAGUUCCGAGCGUAGCAGUAAAACAUUUCGCUUUAGGUAUUUUGUAUAUUGUCAGCUAAAUAGUUAGCCAUACUAUUAUUUUGACCUCGGAUCAGGCAGGGAUACCCGCUGAACUUAA